rnacentral:rRNA from 1 species
GAUCAUGGCUCAGGAUGAACGCUGGCGGCGUGCUUAACACAUGCAAGUCGAGCGAAGCACUUAAGUUUGAUUCUUCGGAUGAAGACUUUUGUGACUGAGCGGGCGACGGGGUGAAGGUAACCGCGUGGGUAACCUGCCUCAUACAGGGGGAUAACAGUUAGAAAUGGCUGCUAAUACCGCAUAAGACCACAGUACUGCAUGGUACAGUGGUAAAAACUCCGGGUGGUAUGAGAUGGACCCG